CCCCGAUCCUCUCCUCACCCGAACCUUCUCCUCUCCUUCCCCGAUCCCGAGCCCGAUCUCUUCUCUCCCUCAUGGUUUCCCCUCGCGUCGAUCGCCACAAGCUCAUCGCCGGCAGUAAUCUUCCUCUUCCGAGCUCCGUCGAAGUCAAGUGCUGGUCGUUCCCUCGAGUUGCCCUCGAUUGUUGUGGCCGACACCAGGUGCCAGCCAACGAGCCGAUCCCCUCUCGCUUGGACGAGACAACGUCGACGAUCACCGGUGUAGAUCUAUCCUCGGUGCUUGCCGGAGAUCGAUCAAGGAGGCACGGAUCCUCUUGAUUUCCUCUUCUCAACCCUUCCUCGAUCUGUGCCCUAGCACGGUCUGCGACUCCUCGAUCGACGCCACUGAAUUGAGCCGUGCCAUCCGAUCGCCGGUGUGGAAGAUGUCCUAGGGUUUCGAGGGUAAGCAACCGAAACCCUUCUUUCCUCUUGAUUCGUUGUUGGAUUCUUGUUGAUUCACGGGUUAGUGCUCUGUUCUGGUAUUGUUGUGAUCUGAUUGAAUGCAGUGAGGAGGAAUUCCGGGGAGGUCGUGAUGAGGUGUUCUUGAGCCGUUGGGCAGAGGCUAGAAGGUGGGCUUGAUUAGUCAUUUGCUUGCUUGAGUCCUUGAUCCGGUUGAUUUCAACAAGACAGUGCUAGGAAUUGAGGUGGUUGUUCUGUGAAGGUGAUCUUGGUUUCCAGCAGAGCUUGCUGUGGUUUCUUUGAUCCAGCAAGGAAACUAUCUCUCAUUGUGCUGUCGACAGAGGCUUUAGAUCAGUGAGGAUUUGAUUCGAGACAGGCGUCUCGACGUUGACUUCGGAUAUGGAUUGUACCUUCUACUUG